rnacentral:rRNA from 1 species
AUGAACGCUGGCGGCGUGCCUAAUACAUGCAAGUCGAGCGAACAGAUGAGGAGCUUGCUCCUCUGACGUUAGCGGCGGACGGGUGAGUAACACGUGGAUAACCUACCUAUAAGACUGGGAUAACUUCGGGAAACCGGAGCUAAUACCGGAUAAUAUAUUGAACCGCAUGGUUCAAUAGUGAAAGACGGUUUUGCUGUCACUUAUAGAUGGAUCCGCGCCGCAUUAGCUAGUUGGUAAGGUAACGGCUUACCAAGGCAACGAUGCGUAGCCGACCUGAGAGGGUGAUCGGCCACACUGGAACUGAGACACGGUCCAGACUCCUACGGGAGGCAGCAGUAGGGAAUCUUCCGCAAUGGGCGAAGGCUUGACGGAGCAACGCCGCGUGAGUGAUGAAGGUCUUCGGAUCGUAAAACUCUGUUAUUAGGGAAGAACAAAUGUGUAAGUAACUAUGCACGUCUUGACGGUACCUAAUCAGAAAGCCACGGCUAACUACGUG